AUUUGCUUUGGCCCAACAUUGAUGCCUGUCCCAGAAAUACAGGAUCAAGUGUCUUGCCAGGCACAUGUGAAUGAAAUUAUCAAAACCAUCAUCAUCCACCAUGAGACUAUUUUCCCAGAUGCUAAAGAGCUGGAUGGCCCUGUUUAUGAGAAAUGUAUGGCUGGAGAUGACUACUGCGACAGCCCAUACAGUGAGCACGGUACAUUGGAGGAAGUGGACCAAGAUGCUGGUACGGAGCCCCACACAAGUGAAGAUGGUAUGCUCUGCCCUUAUGCUUUUAUAAAACCAGGCUUUAUAUCCCUACUGUAAACAAUUGCUUGUAUUAAAAUUUUAGAGGCAAAGCACAGUGGCUCCCACCUAUAAUCCCA
rnacentral:sRNA from 1 species